CCAGGGGGCCGGGCAGCCGCGUCGUUCGACAAGCUCUGCAUGAGCGGGUCGGAUGCCGAGGAAAGUCCGGGCUCCACGAAACAAGGGUGGCGGGUAACGCCCGCCGGGCGAAGGGCUUCGGCCCCCAAGCUCAGGGAAAGUGCCACAGAGAGUAUACCGCCGAUGGAGGGAAACCUCACAGGCAAGGGUGAAAGGGUGCGGUAAAAGCGCACCGGGGUGCUGGUAACAGUGUCCGCAUGGUAAACCCCACCCGGAGCAAAACCGAAUAGGGGCAACGCGCCCCGGAUUCGUCCGGGGCAGGCUGGUUUCGAGCCGAGUUGCCCGGGUUGGUUGCUCGAGCCGCGGAGCAAUCCGUGGCCUAGAUGAAUGGCUGCCAUCGGGGAUACGGUCCGAUAAUCGGAUACCGUCCGCGAUACAGAACCCGGCUUACAGGCCCCCUGGCAAU
rfam:Erythrobacter sp. SG61-1L scaffold_1, whole genome shotgun sequence.